AUUGCCUCCAUGUUUCAGCAGCAGAGCUACGAUAUCUUUUCGGCCUUGCUUGGCUGCUUCAUGCAUUGCUGACCAUCGCUUGACACAGGGCUGGUCUAGGCUAGUGUUAUGUUUGAUCAGAGUCGACACCAUGUCAUAGGAGCCCUUUUUCACAGCUUGAAAAUGAUUGUUAAAAACAACAGAAGAAGAGACAGAUUUGGAUCUCACUCGUAGAGUUUAUGGCCUAGAGAAGAAGCCUAUGCUGCCUUCUAUUUAAAGAGAGACUCAAAGUCUGGGCCUGUACUGGGAAACGUAGAAGAAGAUAUGAGGCCACAUGGAACAUUCUGGGGUAACCAGGAGGCAGAACGCAGAAAGGAUCUAAAGCCAAGGCAAGGAAAGCAGCUCCCAAUGUGGUAAUGGGAGGAUGAAGACGAACUUUGCCUACUUCAUUUGGGAGCAGGCAAGCCAUCCCUGCAGGAGAUGCCCGUUUUUCUCCCUCUCCUUGUCUAAAGUAGAACCUGUUGACAAAUGCCUCUCUCUGAAUUGCCCAACUGUCACUGGCAGCUCUAAUUACAGUGAAUUACCUCAUGCUAGCUGGUGUUAUUGCAGAGCAAACAUCAAGUAAGCUAAACAAACUAAGAGAAAUGUGUCCUCAUGGAUCUUCUUGCUCUGAUGGCAGUUUUUAUAAUUAGAAAAAAAAUGUAUUAAAAUAAUGAGCCUGUUCCCUCAUAAUCUUUUUACCUUUUGUCUGACUCAGAAAACAUAUGGAUUAAAAUAGUUUCUCUUCAUGAAAAUAACUGCAUAAAUGGGCCAUCUUCAACUUAAGAUAGUUUUUAAAAAAUCAAAACUUCACUUCCAAUUUAAUUUUUUGAAAUCAAGAAUGUAUUUCCCAUAGAAAUAAUAAUGCAAAUGGUAGGAAAUCCCUUCCAAGCUAACUCAUGAAGACAUUCUUAACCAAUAAAUGACUGAAAUAAUGAAAACUCAUAAAGCACAGUAUUGGUGUAACAUAAAUGAUUAAGUAAAAUAAUUUAAAAAUGUCUUGUUUUACAUGUGGAUUAUAUAUAUGUUUA
rnacentral:lncRNA from 1 species